rnacentral:ncRNA from 2 species
AAAUCGCACUCUGGAGAGCGGCAUCGGCUGAUCAAGAAGUAGCAGCCAGUUGCCCACCGAAGGGGCGCGCGUUGGAAGUCGAAGAAGUCGAACAUCGGCUGAACAACGUGCAAUCUCUCAGGUACCGAGGACAGAGGGGUCAUG